rnacentral:misc_RNA from 1 species
CGCGGCUUGCCGCGCGGGCGGUGGCCUCGGCCGCGAGCAGCGCCGCGGAACAUGCCUUGUCCGCCGCGGCCGGAGAUACCAGUGCUUCGCCGCGCGUCAGAAGUUCGGAUUGGAUGGAGAUCUCCGAANCGAAGGCAGGCUGACGUCCGUAACGAUCCGGUCUGUCGUCGGGGCCAUGCAGUGUCACAUCGCGACCGUCGAUCAGCGAUGCCAAUGCUUCCCUGCCACGAUCUCCCGCAGGCU